rnacentral:rRNA from 1 species
AUGAUGGUUUUCUUGGUUUGUAGUGUAACGGCCGGUGGUGCUGGCGCCUGGUGGAGGGCAUGGAUUUUAGUGGCUGGGGAUGACCUGGCGGUCAUGCGGGGCUGCUCUGUGUUCCACCUUAUAAGAGAUUUUAGUGAUAAUUUAUUAAGUGAUAAGACUUUGCUUUUCUGUAUCAGUCCAGUGACGAUCAGUGUAGUUGUGGUGCUAGGAUCGGCACGGCUGUACGCUGCAAACGGCGACGAAAAAUAUUGUGAUGGUAUUGCAAGCAACGAGAACAUAUACUAUAAUCGUCCUGACUAA